UGAGGAAUAUUGGUCAAUGGCCGGAAGGCUGAACCAGCCAAGUCGCGUGAGGGAAGACGGCCCUACGGGUUGUAAACCUCUUUUGUCAGGGAGCAAACCGUUCCACGUGUGGAGCGUCGAGAGUACCUGAAGAAAAAGCAUCGGCUAACUCCGUGCC
rnacentral:rRNA from 1 species